GAUGAAGAACGCAGCGAAAUGCGAUAAGUAAUGUGAAUUGCAGAAUUCAGUGAAUCAUCGAAUCUUUGAACGCACAUUGCGCCCCUUGGUAUUCCGAGGGGCAUGCCUGUUCGAGCGUCAUUUCAACCCUCAAGCACAGCUUGGUCUUGGGCUUCGCCGCUAACCCGGCGGGUCUUAAAAUCAGUGGCGGUGCCGUCGGGCCCUGAGCGCAGUAAUCUCUCUCGCUAUAGGGUCCCGGCGGAUGCUGGCCAGUAACCCCCAAUUUUCUAUGGUUGACCUCGGAUCAGGUAGGGAUACCAGCUGAACUUAAGCAUAUCAAUAAGCGGAGGA
rnacentral:misc_RNA from 1 species